ACCGAGGGAAUUGCGACAAAUGUC
rnacentral:siRNA from 1 species